UACGUAGGGUGCGAGCGUUGUCCGGAAUCACUGGGCGUAAAGGGCGCGUAGGCGGCUUCUUAAGCGUGUGGUGAAAGCUCGGGGCUCAACCUCGAGUCGGCCAUGCGAACUGGGAGGCUUGAGCACUGUAGAGGCAGGUGGAAUUCCGGGUGUAGCGGUGGAAUGCGUAGAGAUCCGGAAGAACACCGGUGGCGAAGGCGGCCUGCUGGGCAGUAGCUGACGCUGAGGCGCGACAGCGUGGGGAGCAAACAGG
rnacentral:rRNA from 1 species